CACCAUACAAAUGGGAUGAUGUUGUAAAAGCAGUAAGAUCACAGGAACAACCUGGAACACGUUGGAUUCCGUACAAACUACUUAUGAGGAAGCGAGGGUCAAACUGCCAGAGCCUGAAAGAUUCACGGAUUUGACUGAUUCAGAAACCAGCCACAGAGACACAAACGGAGAACAAUGAAGAGGUGUCACAUUCAAGAUGAUGCGGAUAGUGAAGAUGAGACGUCGGGAGCAUCUACUUUACCUAGACCUCCAGAAAUGGCCACUGCAAAGAAGCUGUCAC